GGCAUCCUGCAUCUCAUGAAUUAAAAAUGGGCCCCCGAAGCCACAGAAUCAUCUGUGGCCGCAAAAAGCAAACAGCAGGAACUCUGGGGUAGGCUAAUGGGCUCUGAAGGCAUCAGACAUGCAUGCCACAGCCCUGGGAUGGACCAAAGUAUUCAAGAAGAAGCGUAAUCAUCUGAUGUCAGAAAGGCCGUGAGAUUAAACAGACUUCUAAAUCAAGUAGGUCCCACCUUUAAAAUGACAUUGGGUUGGUAAACAAUUAAGUCCUUUACCUUCAGAGGACUCUAUGGGGAAUGGUGGUGGCUUAAUAAUGUUACAGGAUUACACAAGGAGAUCUAAAGCUAUUAGCGCCCCAUCAAAGUCACAUCAGCACAGUAAAGAAAAUGUGCGUAAGGCUGGAGAAGGUAGAUGCCAAUUGUUUGUGGAACUAUAGGCUUUGGGGAUAUUUAUACUUAAUACUGAUGUUUUGGGGGCCAAGGGCAGCAAAAAGGGCUCAUGAAAAAGCCUAUAUUCUGUUCAGACUUGGAGGGAAGAACUGAAAAGGGGAAAAGACCAAAAUAAAGCCACGGCACAGAGGUGAGCUACUGAUUCAUAAGGAAGUGGCUCUCCUAUGU
rnacentral:lncRNA from 1 species